rnacentral:rRNA from 1 species
AGGGCGCACGGUGGAUGCCUUGACACUAGGAGUCGAUGAAGGACGGGACUAACGCCGAUAUGCUUCGGGGAGCUGUAAGUAAGCUUUGAUCCGAAGAUUUCCGAAUGGGGAAACCCACCAUACGUAAUGGUAUGGUAUCCUUAUCUGAAUACAUAGGGUAAGGAAGACAGACCCAGGGAACUGAAACAUCUAAGUACCUGGAGGAAGAGAAAGCAAAUGCGAUUUCCUGAGUAGCGGCGAGCGAAACGGAACAUAGCCCAAACCAAGAGGCUUGCCUCUUGGGGUUGUAGGACAUUCUAUACGGAGUUACAAAGGAACGAGGUAGACGAAGCGACCUGGAAAGGUCCGUCGUAGAGGGUAACAACCCCGUAGUCGAAACUUCGUUCUCUCUUGAAUGUAUCCUGAGUACGGCGGAACACGUGAAAUUCCGUCGGAAUCUGGGAGGACCAUCUCCCAAGGCUAAAUACUCCCUAGUGAUCGAUAGUGAACCAGUACCGUGAGGGAAAGGUGAAAAGCACCCCGGAAGGGGAGUGAAAGAGAUCCUGAAACCGUGUGCCUACAAAUAGUCAGAGCCCGUUAACGGGUGAUGGCGUGCCUUUUGUAGAAUGAACCGGCGAGUUACGAUCCCGUGCGAGGUUAAGCUGAAGAGGCGGAGCCGCAGCGAAAGCGAGUCUGAAUAGGGCGUUUAGUACGUGGUCGUAGACCCGAAACCAGGUGAUCUACCCAUGUCCAGGGUGAAGUUCAGGUAACACUGAAUGGAGGCCCGAACCCACGCACGUUGAAAAGUGCGGGGAUGAGGUGUGGGUAGCGGAGAAAUUCCAAUCGAACCUGGAGAUAGCUGGUUCUCCCCGAAAUAGCUUUAGGGCUAGCCUUAAGUGUAAGAGUCUUGGAGGUAGAGCACUGAUUGGACUAGGGGUCCUCAUCGGAUUACCGAAUUCAGUCAAACUCCGAAUGCCAAUGACUUAUCCUUAGGAGUCAGACUGCGAGUGAUAAGAUCCGUAGUCAAAAGGGAAACAGCCCAGACCGCCAGCUAAGGUCCCAAAGUGUGUAUUAAGUGGAAAAGGAUGUGGAGUUGCUUAGACAACUAGGAUGUUGGCUUAGAAGCAGCCACCAUUUAAAGAGUGCGUAAUAGCUCACUAGUCGAGUGACUCUGCGCCGAAAAUGUACCGGGGCUAAAUACACCACCGAAGCUGCGGAUUGAUACCGAAUGGUAUCAGUGGUAGGGGAGCGUUCUAAGGACAGUGAAGUCAGACCGGAAGGACUGGUGGAGUGCUUAGAAGUGAGAAUGCCGGUAUGAGUAGCGAAAGACGGGUGAGAAUCCCGUCCACCGAAUGCCUAAGGUUUCCUGAGGAAGGCUCGUCCGCUCAGGGUUAGUCAGGACCUAAGCCGAGGCCGACAGGCGUAGGCGAUGGACAACAGGUUGAUAUUCCUGUACCACCUCUUUAUCGUUUGAGCAAUGGAGGGACGCAGAAGGAUAGAAGAAGCGUGCGAUUGGUUGUGCACGUCCAAGCAGUUAGGCUGAUAAGUAGGCAAAUCCGCUUAUCAUGAAGGCUGAGCUGUGAUGGGGAAGCUCCUUAUGGAGCGAAGUCUUUGAUUCCCCGCUGCCAAGAAAAGCUUCUAGCGAGAUAAAAGGUGCCUGUACCGCAAACCGACACAGGUAGGCGAGGAGAGAAUCCUAAGGUGUGCGAGAGAACUCUGGUUAAGGAACUCGGCAAAAUGACCCCGUAACUUCGGGAGAAGGGGUGCUUUCUUAACGGAAAGCCGCAGUGAAUAGGCCCAAGCGACUGUUUAGCAAAAACACAGCUCUCUGCGAAGCCGUAAGGCGAAGUAUAGGGGGUGACACCUGCCCGGUGCUGGAAGGUUAAGGAGAGGGGUUAGCGUAAGCGAAGCUCUGAACUGAAGCCCCAGUAAACGGCGGCCGUAACUAUAACGGUCCUAAGGUAGCGAAAUUCCUUGUCGGGUAAGUUCCGACCCGCACGAAAGGUGUAACGAUUUGGGCACUGUCUCAACCAGAGACUCGGUGAAAUUAUAGUACCUGUGAAGAUGCAGGUUACCCGCGACAGGACGGAAAGACCCCGUGGAGCUUUACUGUAGCCUGAUAUUGAAUUUUGGUACAGUUUGUACAGGAUAGGCGGGAGCCAUUGAAACCGGAGCGCUAGCUUCGGUGGAGGCGCUGGUGGGAUACCGCCCUGACUGUAUUGAAAUUCUAACCUACGGGUCUUAUCGACCCGGGAGACAGUGUCAGGUGGGCAGUUUGACUGGGGCGGUCGCCUCCUAAAGUGUAACGGAGGCGCCCAAAGGUUCCCUCAGAAUGGUUGGAAAUCAUUCGUAGAGUGCAAAGGCAUAAGGG